UCUGAAGGCAUCUCUAAAGGAGAUCACAAGAGAUUUCUUCUAUCUCCAACUAAGUCAAAUACUUGAAGUUGAUAUCCCAACAAUAAUGAAUAAAAGGAUGAUAGAGCUACAAACGAAGAUGGCAAAUUAUGAGAAAUUCUGUGAGUCUACUUCGAAAAAGGAGAAAAUGAAGGAAGGCUUGAACAAGGUGAUGCAACUGAAGUGGAGGACCGCAGGCAAAAAACUUGGGCGAUGGAAGGCAGGCACUCCGGGGGCUUCGUCGAGUUGGGUGAUGGCGGUGUGCUGGAAGUUCUCGUCGGUCAGAUAGGCAGGCAACGAACGUAGGUGAGUGAGGGGCUUCGCGAGCUUUAAGGCUGGCUUGGCUACAUUGGGCGAGGAGAUCUGUGCGAGGAGCGACAUCAAGCGGCAAGGAGCAAUACAACCAUUAACGAUGGUGGGUUUGGAUUGGGGAAAUGGUGUUCUGACGUUCACGGUGGCCUUAUCUCUGCUAGAUCUGGGUUGGGUUCUUGAUUUGUGAUUCGUUGUUGUUGUUGUGUGAGUUUUUGAUCUAUUUUGGUUUGUUUUUAUAUUGGGUUUGGUUUGAUUUGAUUUUAUUGUAUUUGGGUUGAAUGAUGAUCUAAUUUUCAGUUGGAAGAUUCUCAUUGGUUUA